AUUGAACGCUGGCGGCAUGCCUUACACAUGCAAGUCGAACGGUAACAGGUCUUCGGAUGCUGACGAGUGGCGAACGGGUGAGUAAUGCAUCGGAACGUGCCCAGUAGUGGGGGAUAGCCCGGCGAAAGCCGGAUUAAUACCGCAUACGACGUGAGGGUGAAAGGGGGGGAUCGCAAGACCUCCCGCCAUUGGAGCGGCCGAUGUCAUAUGAGCUAGUUGGGGGGGUAAAGGCCUACCAAGGCAACGAUCUGUAGUUGGUCUGAGACGACGACCAGACACACUGGGAUUGAGACACGGACCAGACUCCUCCGGGAGGCAGCAGUGGGGAAUAUUGGACAAUGGGCGCAAGCCUGAUCCAGCAAUGCCGCGUGCAGGAAGAAGGCCUUCGGGUUGUAAACUGCUUUUGUCAGGGAAGAAAUCUUCUGGGUUAAUCCCUCGGGAGGAUGACGGUACCUGAAGAAUAAGCACCGGCUAACUACGUGCCAGCAGCCGCCGUAACAC
rnacentral:rRNA from 1 species